GUGCUCGUUUCAGCAGCACAUAUACUAAAAUUGGAAUGAUACAGAGAAGAUUAGCAUGGCCUCUGCACAAGAAUGACAUACAAAUGCAUGAAGCAUUCCAUAUUUUU
rnacentral:snRNA from 1 species